GGCUAGGUGGCAGAGUGGUCUAAUGCGGUAGACUCGAAUUGAAUAAUUCUGCAAUCUAUUUCCCUCGGGAGCGUCUGUUCGAAUCAGGCCCUAGUCG